GUCAAGAUAACAAUGCAUCAAGGGGUAUUUCAAAAGGACCAUGUGUUAAACAAUUGACAGGUAAUUUUAAACAAAAUGGUGGUGUUGAAUAUGGAUAUUGUGUGAUGCAGUACAUAAAAGAGAUAGUCUUGGAUGAAGAUCUACAAUUGGAGAGAAAGUUUGCAGCAUCAAAAAAUAAACAGUAUUACAAUCAAUCUCAGUAUGAUGAAGUCAGAAGUAAAUGGAACGAAUUCGUCUACUUCUAUGUGGGUGUCUAAGUGUAGACUAUGAUAUAAAUUUUAGACAUGUAUUUAGAGAUUUAUGGAUACA